UUGAUCCUGGCUCAGAACGAACGCUGGCGGCAGGCCUAACACAUGCAAGUCGAGCGCGCCCUUCGGGGUGAGCGGCGGACGGGUGAGUAACGCGUGGGAACGUGCCCUCUUCUGCGGGAUAGCCUCUGGAAACGGAGAGUAAUACCGCAUACGCCCUUUUGGGGAAAGAUUUAUCGGAGGAGGAUCGGCCCGCGUUGGAUUAGGUAGUUGGUGGGGUAACGGCCUACCAAGCCUACGAUCCAUAGCUGGUUUUAGAGGAUGAUCAGCCACACUGGGACUGAGACACGGCCCAGACUCCUACGGGAGGCAGCAGUGGGGAAUCUUAGACAAUGGGGGCAACCCUGAUCUAGCCAUGCCGCGUGAGUGACGAAGGUCUUAGGAUCGUAAAGCUCUUUCGCCUGUGAUGAUAAUGACAGUAGC
rnacentral:rRNA from 1 species